ACCGCACCUUAUCCACAUCUAAGACACCGCAAGAUCUGAGCCGCCAACCAGCCGAUGCUCCACCGCUCCUGUUGAUCUCGCUGGCUGGCGCCGGGCUGCCGGCGCCGCAGCAUCUCUUCCCUCCUCCUCGUAUUUCUCUCCAACAGCGACCACACCUCCCAAGUCCCAACUCAAAUUCCACAAGCGCUCCUACAGGCUAACUGAACAUGUCUGCCGAGCUGCUCCUACAGGCUACAGCUGCAUCUCCUCUCCCGUUUCUUGUCAUAAUGUAUUUUUUGAUUAUUUUUUUGGUUCAUUCCAUUGACGACCACUGCUUGAGUUCUUCCCUAUGGUGUUUGACUUUUUCUUUGGUCUCUUCGGUCUGAAACUGACGACCGAACCGAAGUAUCGGUCCACCGAAUUCUCGGUUAGCAGAAUUUUAUAAGACCGAUCGGUCAUCAAUUUCCCAAAACCGAAAUCUCUCCCUAAUAACGUGGCCUUUUCUAGAAAACCCCUUUUGCUUUUCAGUAUUUGAACCCGCAAUCCCUCUUUUACUGGAUGUCAAAAAACGUUUCGUGUUUUACAAAAAGACCCCUGCCUCUUAUCCACAUCCGCUUCCUUUUUCCAGCUGCGGCGGAGCGGCAGAAGAGGGGCGGGCCGAGCAGGAGAAGUUGAGGGGUGGCGCCCUUGCCGGCGGACGGCUACAGUCGCGGCGGGGAGGCGGGGCCGUAUGCUUCAGAUGCGCGCGCGCGGACGCAGCGGCCGUCCAUGGCGGCUCGUCUCGAUCAGGAGGACGAGGGGAAGGGCUCGCGAGGGCCGGCACCGGGAAUGGAGCGGAGGCGGGUGGAUCUGGCGAUUCCGAAGGAGCUGCGGCGGCGAGCGGCUCCGUGGGCGGCGACCUGCGAGGUUCAAGCGGCGGCUGCCAUGAAGGUUGAGCGGCACCUCUGCCUCACCACGGUUCCUGCCCAGCCGAGCCCACAUAGCACGCGGCGGAGGAGAAGUUGAGGGGCGGGCGGAGCAGGAGAAGUUGAGGGGCGGCGCGUUGACGGCGGCGACAGCUUCGGGUGGGCUCGUGGGCGAGCGUGCUGCAGGAAAAAUCAGGUCCCCGCCGGCGACGAGCUUGCUGGAGCCGAUGAAGGGACCCGCGCGCGUUGGCCGGCCUUGCUCUGGCGGCGGAGCUCGAGGGCGUGCCGGCUGCUGCACGUGGCGGAGCUGCUGCUCCUGCUUUUUCACUGCGUCGGCCGGCCUUCAGUGGCGGCGGCGCCGGCCUUGCUCUGGCGACGGAGCUCGAGGGCGUGCCGGCUGCUGCACGUGGCGGAGCUGCUGCUCCUGCUGUUCCGGCGCCGUCGGCCGGCCUUCAGUGGCGGCGGCUCGAGCUCCUGGGCAUGGCCAGCGGCUGCUCCAGUUGCUGGGCGCGGCGGCCGGAGCAGCACGCACCAGUUCUUCCUGCAGCCGCGUCGCCCACGUUCCCGAAAACCACCGUCCGCCAUGGCCGAUGAACCCAGUGCUCUCGAGCCCCUCGGCUUGCUCCCGCGGCACCAACAUGCUCGAAGAAUUGCCGACGCGUCCAGGGUGGGACUGCUCUCCAAUACGGACUCCAGGUCAUUCUUGGACUGAAAGGAUUCCAGAUAGUGGCCAUGGUGGAUGGAUGAUAUGAGGUGAUCUGGGUGCUGCAUUUGAUGGCCAUGAUCUGUUUGCUGCAGGCCAACUCCCUGCUUGUGGCCUCUGAAGGAGACAACUUCCAGUUCCAGUAGACCUAUCCGAUAGAAUUCUCGAAGCUAUUAGCUUGCAAGCUCUCAAUCAGGUAUUGUAUUCGCAACUUAGCGUAUUUUUUACUGAAGUUUGGUGCCUAACUCCCAAACAUCUUUUGUCAAUGGUAAGAAUGUAGAUGUUGACAACUUGACAUGAAUUUUAUGCUUUCUGCAAGAAGAGUGGUAUCAAUAUUAAUAGAGAAGUAGACAUUGUUCGAAUUAUUCCCGAUUAUUUGUGUUAUGUUAAUAGCUGCCUGCUCCUCCUUGGUCCCCUGUCAACUGUACAAAAGGUAAUUUAUCAGAAUCUUACAGCCUUUUAGCUGCACCUGAGCCUAUGAGGUUCCUUAGUUUCACCACUGAACAUGAAGCUACUCAAGUCUGAAGUCUGAAACGAUUGUCGGCGAUCGCAUUAUGAAUUCAGAAUUGAGAAAAUGAUGCACUAUCAAUAAAAUCAUUACAACCAGUGUCGAUUUGAACCGAUGAAUGUGCUUACUUCCAUGGUGCUACAGUAUAUACAAUCCCAAUGAUUUGUAUUCCUUGUGCCAUAAAAAUUUCUGCCGAUGCAACUGUGAGCUCAGGGGCAAUUUGUUUUAUAUUUUUAUAUAGUUGCAAUAAAAUGCUACGGUUGCGCGUUGGCUUUGCAUGUCUGAUUAGCUGGCUGAUGAAUAUUGUUACUCAAUUAAAAUGAUCUGGGAUUUUUUCAUGCCAAUAAAUACUCUCUGAAUUGUUAGUGUUUUGCACAGACUUCAUGUAGCAAGAAAUGUGAUGUCUGAAGGGAUGCACAUGUCUCCUUGGCAAAAAAAGAGACCGCAAUUAACACAAAUCCAAUGCAUCAAGGUCAGCAGUUCCAUAUUUUUAUGACCGGGAGUGUACCACUUCAUGCAUGCACUUUCUUUUAUUGUCGAUAACACGCCCGAUGCUUCGCGAAAUGUCUGAAUGAGAAAGAAAGAAAGAAAGAAAGAAAGAAAGAAAGAUAGAUAGAUAGAUAGAUAGAUAGAUAGGUAGAUAGAUAGGUAGAUAGAUAGAUAGAUAGAUAGAUAGAUAGAUAGAUAGAUAGAUAGAUAGAGAUAGAGAGUAUGUAAGUGAUGGAGCAUCAUGUGGCCUUGACGCACGGGCAUUCGUAUCUACUCCUACUUACUUAUAUCUUCUAUUCCCAGUUAAUUAGAAUUUUUUUAUUUGUGGUCAUCUCCUAAGUAAGCAAAUUAUUUUUUGUGUUAAAGAGGAGUACGUUCUGUUUUUAUUUGUGACCUGAAGGUCAGCAACGUAAAGCUUGCAUGCAUCUGAAGGCAUGUUCCAUCCUUGAAUAUAUACUAAUAUAAAGGCAUGUUACAAUUGUGGGCAGGUAGAAAAUUCAUCAUUUUAUACAAGGACUAUGGAGUUAAAUUUUGGUUGGUUGCUUUCGACUUUCACCAUUUGGCCAGCUCUAUCUCUUUCACACCUCUUCCUCUGUGACAAAGGGAUGAAGCUAUUGGUUUUGAAAUUUGAAAUAGAGGCCUGAAGUUGGCACCAAUGCUCCAAUGCAAAUUUGAUACAUCAAGCGCUUGAUAUAUGUUUAUAAUCAUCUGCAAGACUGCGUUAAGAAAAUGAUGUGAAAUAUUUAGAUUGGUACGCUGCGAGGAGUGGGCUGGAAUGACAUGUUUCCUCUCUCUAUAUUGUCAUAGUGGUGGAGGUACAUGCAGAUCUGACGCCAUUUUUACAUAUUUGCAUAUAUCAAUGGUCAAUAUUUUUUUUGUGUUUUCCUACUGACAUUUACAUACUACUUUGCGUUUUAAAAGCUACAAACAGUUUUCUCUGUGCAGACCAUGAAGAGAUGCAUCUCAGAGGACAAGCAAUGCCAUGUUUUCAUUGUACUGAAAAUACUUAGUUUCCUGCCAAUUUUGUUAGUAAUCUAUAUAUAACUAUAUUUCUUAUUGAUUUUCUCUGUGCAGACCAUAAAGGGAUGCCUCCCGGGACAAGCAUCGUCGUAUUUUCAUUGUACUAAAAAACAUAAUUUCCUGGUCAUUUUUGUUAUUAAUCCGUACAUAACUAUAUUUAUUAUCAUGAGGUGAAAAUAUUCUGAGGAUGCUUUCAGGUACAUAAAUAAAGAUAUAUAAUGUAUUCAGCUUCUGCUUACACUUUAGUUCAAUGUGUUCAUUACCUCAUACCACCAGCAGUGCCAGUUUUGCUUACUUCCAUUAAUAGCCAUGUAGGGAUUAAUCCUGCCCUGUUAUGUCCUGUCCAAUUACAUAUUUAUGCCUUCUCUUUGGAUUUAGAUUAAUUAGAUAUUGUAUUAUGAGAUAUUGUAUUAUGAGACUAGAGACAUGUUAUUGGUAAUUUGAGCAUUUGCUUU